AGAGCGCUUACGGCUGACCAUAGCUUACAAAUGUUUGAGAGUGUACACAGUGUCUUGACUUUCGCCUUCAUUAUAAUAUGAGCUGUUACAAACCCUGUAAAAUCUCUAGUAAACUGAUAAAAUCCCAACACAUGUGUGAACCUCCUUGCCCCUAUAAUUAACAGUCCCUCACCCACGGGCAUUAGUGUCUAGCUUCUUCUCACAAUUAAAUUCCGAUCAUGUGAUGGUGUGUCACCUGAUAAGAAGUAAUUAGUUGUGUAGCUAGAAAGAUAGGUGACAAGUGUGAUUGUGUAGAGUCAAGAAUCGAAAACCCACAGCAUUCGUGUAUGUGUAUAUAAUUAUAGUAUGGUCGGAGUUUCAUGGAAUUCUACUACUUCUCUGGAAAUCCCUGGCCGGCAAUUCAUUGGUUCACUGGAUUUCAAUUUUAUUUCUAGUUGUUGUUCUAUCUGGCGAGGUAUUUUGUCUACCAUAGCGAAUAGUGGAAUAGCCGUAACUUAGUGAGAGCAUGAAUAGCAGUAAUACAGCUAAUGAGUUGUGUACAUAGUUUGGUCACCCUAAACUGAUUUGAGGUCUACCAAAAACAAGCAAACUCAAGAGCUGGUUUUGUUUCUGUGUAAAUGUUUCCUCUCUGGCAAUGAGUAACCUAAUCAAUUAGCUAAACCACGAAGCUGCCGUACAUGGUUUAGGUUAAAGUAUUGUGUCCACUGCAAAUCUCCUGUUUUAAAAGUGAGUUUCUCCUAUGCAUAUGUUCUUAUAUUGCCUGUAUAGUUCACUAACAUGGCCAUGGUCUAUCCUAUACAUGUAGCAGUUGUAUGUAGAACUGCAUGACCAUUGUGUGUAAGGUAAUUAGGUUUUAAUUGACCAUUUUUUUCCUGUGUAAAAAAUAUAUCAUGCAGUGCAGAGUUUUUCAGUUUUGCCUACUUCCCCAUGUGAUCCUGUUUCCAGCUCUCUAUAUUAUAAACUAUAAACAUGUGCGUAACACUGAGUGUAUAUACUGCAGCAUACCGCUUACACUAGCCGCUAAUGGCUAAUCUAAUUCAGCUCAUUAGCCUCAUUAUCAUUUGGUCAGUAAGUCUGCAGAGAUAGUGAGACCAUGGAGUGUGUACUCCCUUGUUCCCAGGGUACUGGCUCUAAUUGAAUUAUAAGUAAUGUGAUUAUCUGAAGAGAUGGGAUACCAUGCAGGAAGGAAAGAGUUGGAUUUUCUGGCAGUAUUUUUACCUAGUCCUAUAUUUGCACCCUUCUACACUUCAGAUUAAUGCAUAUUAUAUGCAGGGCUAUUUCCCUCUAAAACAAUGAUCCUAUUUAAGCAUAGAGUUUCUAUUCCACUUUAGGCCGACUGACUCUUUAGGCUGACUGAUUAAUGCACAACAACCCAAUCAAAAUAAUGGGAAAAGGAAUUGAUGACAAGAAGAGUGCCACUUCAGAUUAUCAGUUGCUUGAAAUCAUGAUGCAUGUCAAUAUAUAAUAGUCACGUAUCAAUAAUUGUUGCAUGCAUG